GUAGGGGGGCAAGCGUUGUCCGGGAUUUAUUGGGGCGUAAAGCGUCCGUAGGCGGUUUAUCAGGUCAAGUGUGAAAAUCCACGGGCUCAACUGUGGGACCUGCACUCGAAACCGAUAGACUAGAGUCCAGUAGGGGAGAUGGAAUUCCAGGUGUAGCGGUGAAAUGCGUAGAUAUCUGGAAGAACACCAGUAGCGAAGGCGGUCUCCUGGGCUGCGACUGACGCUGAGGGACGAAAGCUAGGGUAGCAAACAGGAUUAGAUACCCUGGUAGUCCUAGCUGUAAACGAUGGACACUAGGUAUCGGGGAUUAUCGACAUCUUCGGUGCCGCAGCUAACGCAUUAAGUGUCCCGCCUGGGGAGUACGGCCGCAAGGCUA
rnacentral:rRNA from 1 species